UAAAACCCAAGUUCCUAUUCAUUCCCGAUUCUAUUUCUUCCUCUUCCUCUUCCUCCCGAUUCACGCCGCUGACCCCUCUCUCGAUCUCUCGCCACCACUGUCGGAUCGUCGAUGUAGUCGCCCCUUCGUCGGAGCAGUCCCGCAACCGGCAUCGCUAAUCGCAGCAAGGGUCAGCAUCGCGGCUACUAGAGUCAAUUAGCCAUCCUCCCUCUCCCCGAUACCUCAUUUCACCAUCCUCAAUCCGUAGUCGUCGACCUUUCCCUGACCACGAGGAAGAGCUCUGAUGCCCUUCGUUUGUGCUGAGCUAACCGUCAACCACCACCGCCCUCUCCUCUUCAUCGCCACCUCCUUCUCUUCUUCGCCCAAGCCGCCCCACAUAAGGUUGUCUUUGGACAAGAGCAAGGAACCACCAUCGCUAUGUAUUGUUGACACUGUAGCAGCUACCACCGGUUGCCAGCAGCUUCUCCGACCCAGGGCUAUCGUUGGUCGCCUGGCUGCUGGGAAUUGGUCUCCGCUGGAGAGGAAUCUACCGACACAGAUUUGGGGUUAGUAAGUGAAGGAAGAGUGGAUGGCAGUAGAUCACCGCCAGUGACUUCCAGCCAUGAGCCACCAGUGACCAUCAUCAAAUUUGGACUCUGAUUUGAGAUGAGCAUCUUGACGUGGGAUUGAUUCUGACACGAGCUACUUUUUGAGGCAGAUAUUUUUUCCUUGAUCUCAGUAGUUUAUUGACCUUAGUGCAUGGUCUUUAGUUGACGGACUGAAUUACUUUAUCUUGACUCUACUCGUAUUAUAACUGAGUAUGAUACUUACAUGUUUGAUCAUAGAGAUGAUUUAUUUAUUGCUUAUACAGUCUUAUCUUUGGAUGUUCUUACUUUGUAGUGUACACAUGUGUAUAGUGUGUACUAUAAGAGUUAUUAUGUUGAUUACUCAUAUGUUGUAGUGUGUACACUAGUAUGAGGUGCACUAUAGAAGUUAAACUGUUUGACUGCCUAUACGUUGUAGUGUAACCACAUGUGUAGGGUGUAUAAUAGGUGUGACUUUGUACCUUAUGUAUUGUUUAGUAGACACCUGUUGGAUCUAUUCAUACUUAUAGACUUAAGUGAAAGAUAGAUCAUGUACUAAAUGUACCUAUGAUAAUGAAGUUGUUACAUUGAUGAUGACUACUAUAUCAAUAUCAUGAUAACCAUUUCGCUGCUCAUUCGGCCACUAAGGGGUAAUGGUAGCUAGAGUUGCAUGCAGCUUAUCCUAUCAUGUCACUCGGUCAUUCAGAGUAGUGGUAGACAGAGUCGUGUAGACAGUGACCCCCUUGUUAUGUAGCUAGAUAGCUACUCUGCAGCCUGCCCGUCUGGGCAAUAUUGAUAUAGUGGCAACUGGAGACAUGAGUAGUUGUCACAAUCCUGCCCACUCGGUUACAUUGAUGUAGUGGUAGCUUGAAGUGGAGAGUAAGAGUGACGCAUACAUGUUUAUAUACAUAUGAUGCGCAGUGCAUAUUUUGGAGAUAUAUCUGCAUGUGCUUGUGAUAUGUUGCAUUUGCUCGGGAUAUGAUUAUUGCACAUGGUUGUCAUGAUUCAUACACAUUCAUUUAUCAUACAUGUAUAUGUUAUUAUAUAUUGGUCAGGUGUUACGAGUAGAUCUGCUAUUGGUCACUAGUAAUUACUGAUCAUUAUACCUUACGAGUUAGUCUGGAUAGGAUAUGUGCAUGCAUUAUGUCAUUUAUGAUUAUGUGCAUAACUCCUACUGAUAAGACUGCAUACCUUUGAUCUCCAUGUUCUUAUUUUAACCAUACACUAUCACUGUCUAUUACCCGCUGAGUCAUUUAGACUCACCACCCUAUGUAUGUUUUUCUUCCCUAUGUAGCAGAUAAAUGAUAUAUGGGGUUGUCAAGAGAUCAUGUCCACCAGUCUCAUGUCGCAUUGAGCAUCUUCUUCCAUUAUUACUUUUGCUUGCUUUAUUGGUUUCCAGACUUGUUUAUGUAAUAAAUAACUUGUGUGUGGAUUUUUGACUUGUGGUAUCCUUUUAUUUGGUUAUAUAAUUAUUGUGGUAAGUCGUACCGAUACGUAGUUUAGACAGUUUAUCUUGCAUGGUUAUGUUUUUACCAAUCGUGUAGGCUACGUAUUAUUAUUAUCUUCCGCUGUAUUUAUUAUUCUAGUCGUGUGGCCUGUAUUUUGAUGUACUUAUU